UACAGAGGGGGCAAGCGUUGUUCGGAAUUACUGGGCGUAAAGGGCGCGUAGGCGGCCUUCUAAGUCGAACGUGAAAUCCCCGGGCUUAACCCGGGAACUGCGUCCGAGACUGAAAGGCUUGAAUCCGGGAGAGGGAUGUGGAAUUCCAGGUGUAGCGGUGAAAUGCGUAGAUAUCUGGAGGAACACCGGUGGCGAAGGCGGCAUCCUGGACCGGCAUUGACGCUGAGGCGCGAAAGCUAGGGGAGCAAACGGG
rnacentral:rRNA from 1 species